AGGGAAGCUUCCGUGAUGCCUGUUGGUGAUCACUGAGUAGAGUCAUGAUGGGGAAGCAGGACAGCCAAAGCCCUGAGGGAUGAAGGCAGGGCCAACGGGACAAGAUUGAACCAAGGAAGCUCUAUCAGAAAGGAGCAGACCGCAGACCACCAGACAAAGGUGAACCAACACAGCAGUCCUCUAGCCUGGCAGCCCGGGACCAGACCUCACAUACAUACAUGAGGAGUUCUGAGAGUGCGGAGGCCCUUCCUCAGGCUGAGGGCCUUGGAAUAGAGGGAGCAGCUGCUGGAAAAUACCAGAAACCCCCCAUUCUAGGACCACUGGAGCCUGGCCAUGAAGCGUCUCUUCCUUAUUUCUCAUCCUUGGUCCAGGAUGGACCCUCCUGCUCUCCAUCCUGGCCUUGGUCUCCACCUACAGCCCUAACCAGUCUGCUGGCUUUGAACAAUUUCAGUGUUCCAAGUCAGAGCCUAAAGCAGAGUCAUGCUUCCCCAGGAAUACAGCUCACCAAUAAUGGGAAGAGUGUGGGGAAACAGGGCUGAGACUCUGUCUCCCCUUCCCACUCCCAGAGGCAGAGAGUACUAAGGCCUUCCCCAUUCCAGACUUCAGCAGCCUGCAUCAGAGAACUGCUCCAGACCUGGAGAAGCCCAAGAGAAGAAUCCCAAAAGCUCUGGCCAGAGCAAUGCAACACAAGAACUUUACAUAUGACCAGCACCUAUG